rnacentral:rRNA from 1 species
UACGUAGGUGGCAAGCGUUGUCCGGAAUUAUUGGGCGUAAAGCGCGCGCAGGCGGUCCUUUAAGUCUGAUGUGAAAGCCCACGGCUCAACCGUGGAGGGUCAUUGGAAACUGGGGGACUUGAGUGCAGGAGAGAAGAGUGGAAUUCCACGUGUAGCGGUGAAAUGCGUAGAGAUGUGGAGGAACACCAGUGGCGAAGGCGACUUUCUGGCCUAUAACUGACGCUGAGGCGCGAAAGCGUGGGGAGCAAACAGG